rnacentral:lncRNA from 1 species
GAGGGGUUAACCUUGGCAAACAUGUCCAGACAAGUCCAUGGUACAAGAUUAGCAUAAGCAGACAUGGCAGGGCAAGACUCAGGUAUAAGAUUAGCAUAGACAAAUAUGUCUUAAGUACCCACCACCCAAAAGUACAAUAGAACUUCCUUUGCAUGUCUGGAGCCUGAGGCAAGUCAGGUGAUGAGAUUUGGCUUCCCUUGACUAACAAUGAGCCCACCAACUGUCACCUCUGGGAACUUCCUGGAGUCCUUUUUCAAGGGGAAAAUAGCUUUGGAAUGGAGGAAACUGGCAAAGGAGAUGAUUUUAUAUUAUGUUUAAAGCUAGGUAACUUCCCUGAGCUGUCAAGUUGAGAGGAUACAUUCAGGCAUAAUAUUUGUAACAUUUAACUUUAAAGAUGUCCCCUCCCCCCGUAAUUUCCGUAACGCCUUCUAUGUUCAAUGUGCAGAUGGGGGGGCAUGGCUUAAUUAACCAAAAUGGCAGCCUCCAUGCACAAGAGAGGCAUCUGCAGAGUCAGCUGUGGGGGGGGACAGAGGUUUGUAAAAGUAAACAAAACAAAAAAAACCCCUCAAGGAAGGGUAGAUAUGCUAAAAAAAUAGCCAUUAGGGGACUGAGCAUGCACAGUGACCAUGGAGUGCUGACCAACUAUGGGGUGGGUAGGGGGAAAUCUGGAGGGUGGGGCAAUGGAAUAAUUGUUUGCUUGUUGUCUGUCUGUCUGUCUGUUUGUUUGUUUGUUUGUUUGUUUAUACAUACACCGCCCAUCUGGCUGGGUUUCCCCAGCUACUCUGGGUGGCUCCAAAUAGAAUAUUAAAAACACGAUAAAUACAUCAGUCCUUAAAAACCUCCCUAAGCAGGGCUGCUUUCAGAUGUUUUCUAAAAGUCAGGUACAGUGGUACUUCGGGUUAAGUACUUAAUUCGUUCCGGAGGUCCAUUCUUAACCUGAAACUGUUCUUAACCUGAAGCACCACUUUAGCUAAUGGGGCCUCCCACUGCUGCUGCGCCGCCGCCGCCGCCGCACAAUUUCUGUUCUCAUCCUGAAGCAAAGUUCUUAACCCGCAGUACUAUUUCUGGGUUAGCGGAGACUGUAACCUGAAGCGUAUGUAACCCGAGGUACCACUGUAGUUGUUUAUUUCCUUGACAUCUGAUGGGAGGGCGUUCCACAGGGCAGGCACCACUGCCCAGAAGGCCCUCUGCCUGGAAUGGCGCAGUUGCAUUCCUGAACGACAGCUCCAAAUUUGUGCAGGGUUUACUCCUUAGCCUUUUCUUCUCCCAAAGACAUGCCGCCAGUUAGUGGAGGUUUUGGACCAGAGUUUUCCUUCUUCUAGAUGGAUUACCUUCCCAGGUUGACCAGCCCCCAUCUACCCCUGGAGGGAGGGAGCCCUCUGAAAUGCACACAGUUCAGCAACUGCAAUGUAAAUGAAACAAGAAGAGCGAGAUGAUCUGUUGGGCUCUGGGGCUAAUCCUGCUCCACUUUGCUCCGUAGGAGGUUUGCUGCUGACUCUGCACUUCUAUCGACAGCUCCCCAACCAGCAGCUUGUAUGAAUUCAUUGAGAGAUUUUGGUUCUAUUUGCGAUUCUCCCACACCGCACAGUCGCCUACUAAUGACUGCCGCAUUUCGGAUGCAUGUUGGCAUCCUCCGAGGCCCAAAAUAAAUAUUUAACGUCCCC